rnacentral:rRNA from 1 species
UGCAGUCGAGCGGUAGCACAGAGAGCUUGCUCUCGGGUGACGAGCGGCGGACGGGUGAGUAAUGUCUGGGAAACUGCCUGAUGGAGGGGGAUAACUACUGGAAACGGUAGCUAAUACCGCAUAACGUCGCAAGACCAAAGUGGGGGACCUUCGGGCCUCAUGCCAUCAGAUGUGCCCAGAUGGGAUUAGCUGGUAGGUGGGGUAACGGCUCACCUAGGCGACGAUCCCUAGCUGGUCUGAGAGGAUGACCAGCCACACUGGAACUGAGACACGGUCCAGACUCCUACGGGAGGCAGCAGUGGGGAAUAUUGCACAAUGGGCGCAAGCCUGAUGCAGCCAUGCCGCGUGUGUGAAGAAGGCCUUCGGGUUGUAAAGCACUUUCAGCGGGGAGGAAGGCGGUGAGGUUAAUAACCUCAUCGAUUGACGUUACCCGCAGAAGAAGCACCGGCUAACUCCGUGCCAGCAGCCGCGGUAAUACGGAGGGUGCAAGCGUUAAUCGGAAUUACUGGGCGUAAAGCGCACGCAGGCGGUCUGUCAAGUCGGAUGUGAAAUCCCCGGGCUCAACCUGGGAACUGCAUUCGAAACUGGCAGGCUAGAGUCUUGUAGAGGGGGGUAGAAUUCCAGGUGUAGCGGUGAAAUGCGUAGAGAUCUGGAGGAAUACCGGUGGCGAAGGCGGCCCCCUGGACAAAGACUGACGCUCAGGUGCGAAAGCGUGGGGAGCAAACAGGAUUAGAUACCCUGGUAGUCCACGCUGUAAACGAUGUCGAUUUGGAGGUUGUGCCCUUGAGGCGUGGCUUCCGGAGCUAACGCGUUAAAUCGACCGCCUGGGGAGUACGGCCGCAAGGUUAAAACUCAAAUGAAUUGACGGGGGCCCGCACAAGCGGUGGAGCAUGUGGUUUAAUUCGAUGCAACGCGAAGAACCUUACCUGGUCUUGACAUCCACAGAACUUAGCAGAGAUGGUUUGGUGCCUUCGGGAACUGUGAGACAGGUGCUGCAUGGCUGUCGUCAGCUCGUGUUGUGAAAUGUUGGGUUAAGUCCCGCAACGAGCGCAACCCUUAUCCUUUGUUGCCAGCGGUUAGGCCGGGAACUCAAAGGAGACUGCCAGUGAUAAACUGGAGGAAGGUGGGGAUGACGUCAAGUCAUCAUGGCCCUUACGACCAGGGCUACACACGUGCUACAAUGGCAUAUACAAAGAGAAGCGACCUCGCGAGAGCAAGCGGACCUCAUAAAGUAUGUCGUAGUCCGGAUUGGAGUCUGCAACUCGACUCCAUGAAGUCGGAAUCGCUAGUAAUCGUAGAUCAGAAUGCUACGGUGAAUACGUUCCCGGGCCUUGUACACACCGCCCGUCACACCAUGGGAGUGGGUUGCAAAAGAAGUAGGUAGC